rnacentral:misc_RNA from 1 species
AUGAGGCGAUCGCUUGGGAGAGAGAGGCGCAAGGCGUGAGGCGAGGGAGGCGACGCCUCUGUUACAUAAUGUUUAUUUUUUUAUUUUUUAUUCAUUCUUUAAACGGCAAGAGUUAAAAACCCUAAAGAGGAGGCUCUCAUUUCACCCAUGGCUCCACGGUUGCUUGAAAAAGGGAAAGAAGAACAACCCAAGGAGUAAGGUAUGUCUCUCUCUC